rnacentral:rRNA from 1 species
GGAGGUAGUGACAAUAAAUCACAAUGCGGAACUUCUGUUUUGCAAUUGGAUUGAGAACAACGCACAACAUUUAUCGAUAAACAAUUGGAGGGCAAGUCUGGUGCCAGCAGCCGCGGUAAUUCCAGCUCCAAUAGCGUAUAUUAACGUUGUUGCAGUUAAAAAGCUCGUAGUUGAAGUGAAGUGUGAAUCUCUAGGAUUUUCGUUUGAAUUUCCUUUAGCUUCAUACUCUUUCCAAAUAGUUUGCAUGGGUAUUUACUUAUCUGUGUAUUGCAUUUGGUCAUUUACUGUGAGAAAAUUAGAGUGUUCAAAGCAUACGUUUGUUUGAAUACAUUAGCAUGGAAUAAUUCGAAAAGGCUUUCAUGUUCGAUUUGAUUGGUUUGUUCGUGAAGGCAAGAUUAAAAGGGACAGUUGGGGGUAUUCAUAUUCAAUAGUCAGAGGUGAAAUUCUCGGAUUUAUGGAAGAUGAACAAGUGCGAAAGCA